UCUUAUUCUUCACCCCAUUUCUCCGACUCUUGCUGCCAAGGUCUUGCAACCCCUCCGACCAAUCCCCACAUCUUGCCGCCGUCACCACCACUUCAACAUUUUUACAUUGUCACCAUCGCAACCCCCUUGCCGCCGUUACCACCGCAACCACCUCCGCUGCCGCCACCGCCACCACUCACCCCAUUCCUGUCGUGUCACCACCUCCGUCGCUAUUUCAGGCGAUUCAUAGAACAUUCUUUGUUUGAUUCAUCCAUCAUAGACGUUGUGAGUCCUAGAUUUUAGUUAUAUGAUGAAAUCAAGAAGAUGGGUAUUUGGGGGUUCUAAUGAAUUUUGCUAUAAUAAUCCAAAUUAUAGAAAUUGUGAAAUAUACGGUGUUUAUCUACUAAAGAUGAGUAUUUGUUACAUGGAAGGAUAACACUUGAGUGCUUGUGGUAAAAAUGGCAAGCUCUUUAAAAAUGAAGGAUUUAUUGGUCCGAUGCCCUGACAGUAGUUGUCUUUCAGAAGGGUUGUGAACAUAUGUGAGAUUGGCUGCUGAGUCUAAAAGUAGAAGGUUGCUAGCUACGUAAAAUGGCUAGAAGAUGAAUUAGAACUUAAUGCUUUUCAUGAACCUAGAAGUUGUAGAGGUGGAAAUGAGAAAACAGUUGGAAGUCAAAGAACACCCCUUUUCGCAUUCUUCCAAUACUAAGGUAGGUAACUGCUACUAUCAUUGUUAAAAAAGAGUUAAUACGAGGAUCAUUUUACUCACAUGAUGAUUGUGGAAGAUGUUCACGAACGAAGUUUUGAAUAUUUAUUGCAAACGUUUAUACCAUUGAUCCCGUGGUGAAUCUUUGACACUUUGGAGCUUUAGACAUAUACUAAGUGAAGACAACCGAUGUGCCUUCUUAAACGUGAACACAAUCAGUGGUCAAAUGUGUAGAGAAAUGAGAGCAGAAGUUGAAGAACACAUUAGGACUAUGGUGCGUUAUCAUGAUGAUAAAGAAUUCAUCCUUGUACCUUAUUGUGAUGAUGGACAUUGGACUUUGUUCAUUAUUGCCGUAAAAGUACGACGGGUAUAUAUUUUAGAUCAACUAUUCAAAGAGGGCAACAAGAAUCCUAGACACUAUCGUCUUACAAGUGUGAUUUAAAGCGCCUUGCUGCCAAUAAAACCCACAUUUGAUAUGGUUAAUUGCAAUCAACAAGUUGAGACAUGGGAAUGCGGCUAUAUACUUCUUCAAUCUAUGUUCAACUUUGUCAAUGUGUAUCAAAAGCAAUUUCCCAAAAUAUGGAACGACACGAAAGAGGUUACGGAUGAAGAUAUAGAAAAGACGUUGAAGGAAUUGAUGCCAAUUUUAUUUGACGGGUUGGGUAUUCCUUAGUUUAAAUAUAGUUUGUUUAUGGUGUUAAAUAGAUUAAGUAGUUAAUUGUUAUUUUUACCAAUUAAUAUUGUAGACUUUCGGGUUAAAUGUGUAUUGGUUCACUUUUUACUUGUCCGGAUUUGAUUACGUUGAAUAUAUAAAAGGAUUGAUUGGAUUUGACGUC